rnacentral:lncRNA from 1 species
GGGAAAUGUUGUUUGCACCUCAUAUUUCAAAGUGCGCUUCUUUCCUUCAAAGGAUUCUGGGAAAUGUAGUUUGUCCCUCAGAAUUCUCAACAGCAAUUAAUGCAUUACAGUGCCCAGAGUUCUUGUGCUUGCCAGAACUGAAUUCUCCAGGUUUGCCUGGCCACUCCCAGGUGGCAGGAGGAGAGCUUGUAUAUCCUGGUAGGUGAGAGCGCCUUACAUUUUAAUUAUAUUAUUAUUAAGAAGACUGUGCAAGCUUCAACCCGGCAAGAGCCUGCUGCAAAUUAUUGCACAGACCCUCAGAGGGGGGUUGCAGCGGUGUCUGCCUACAGAGGGAUGUGGUCCUUGUGCUGAAAUGAUCCCCUAAAACCAUUUAGUGGUGCACACCCCCCAUGGUAUCUGUAGAGAUGAAGGUUGGUCUAUAUUUUUUAAUAUUAAACAAGCACAUGAAUACAACCCUGCUGAGGUGCACGCACCAUUGUGAAACCUCAGGAGAUUAUGGUGAUGCAGCUCCAGGGUUGCCGUCAGUUGCAGACUACCUGUGACAUCAUAAUUGUACAUGGCAACUGAGUGGAUAUAAAGGUGGGCCUUUUUCUCUUCUCCAACAGAACAUAGCAGAAACAGUUGUAAGAUUCAGGGUUGCCCAGUCUUCUUCCACUUGGAGAAGGUGAAUUGGCAGGUGGAUGGAGGCAAUCAUCUGGUUGUGGGAUGCUGUGGAGCAAUGAUAAUGCAAGUUCACUUGCUGAGCAGGUGGAUGGAGGCAAUCAUCUGGUUGUGGGAUGUUGUGGAACAAUAAUAAGGCAAGUUCACUUGCUGAGCAGGAUCACGUCUUGAAGGCAUCUGAUAAUCCAUGGUCAUAAGCUGGUUGAUGUCUAAUGAUGGACCUAGCAGAUGUUAGUGGGUGGAAGCUGGUAAAGUCAGCAUUCAAAAACAGGUACGUAGAUGCCUCAAGGCUGAAGCAGGCUGAUGUUUGUGAAUGUCAGUUGGUUGGCAUUUAGGUCUGGAAGCCAAUCAACAAAAACGG